UACGGGGGGGGCAAGCGUUGUUCGGAAUUACUGGGCGUAAAGGCUCGUAGGCGGCCAACUAAGUCAGACGUGAAAUCCCUCGGCUUAACCGGGGAACUGCGUCUGAUACUGGAUGGCUUGAGUGUGGGAGAGGGAUGCGGAAUUCCAGGUGUAGCGGUGAAAUGCGUAGAUAUCUGGAGGAACACCGGUGGCGAAGGCGGCAUCCUGGACCAUAACUGACGCUGAAUAGCGAAAGCCAGGGGAGCAAACGGGG
rnacentral:rRNA from 1 species